rnacentral:rRNA from 1 species
UACCCUUGACAUGGCAGGAAUCCCGCAGAGAUGUGGGAGUGCUCGAAAGAGAACCUGCACACAGGCGCUGCAUGGCCGUCGUCAGCUCGUGUCGUGAGAUGUUGGGUUGAGUCCCGCAACGAGCGCAACCCUUGCCAUUAGUUGCUACGAAAGGGCACUCUAAUGGGACUGCCGGUGACAAGCCGGAGGAAGGUGGGGAUGACGUCAAGUCCUCAUGGCCCUUAUAGGUGGGGCUACACACGUCAUACAAUGGCCGGUACAAAGGGCAACCAACCCGCGAGGGGGAGCCAAUCCCAUAAAGCCGGUCGUAGUCCGGAUCGCAGUCUGCAACUCGACUGCGUGGAGUCGGAAUCGCUAGUAAUCGUGGAUCAGCAUGUCACGGUGAAUACGUUCCCGGGUCUUGUACACACCGCCCGUCACACCAUGGGAGCGGGUCUCGCCAGAAGUAGGUAGCCUAACCGCAAGGGGGGCGCUUACCACGGCGGGGUUCGUGACUGGGGUGAAGUCGUAACAAGGUAGCCGUAUCGGAAGGUGCGGCUGGAUCACCUCCUU